rnacentral:sRNA from 1 species
GAUCCAGUGCGUCGUACACGGUGGGAA